rnacentral:tRNA from 1 species
GCCUUGCUAGGUCAAUUGGUAGAGCGUGAGUUUUUACAUUUUAAGGUUGCGGGUUCAACCCCUGCGUAAGGCU